CGUAGGGUGCGAGCGUUAAUCGGAAUUACUGGGCGUAAAGCGUGCGCAGGCGGUUAUGUAAGACAGAUGUGAAAUCCCCGGGCUCAACCUGGGACCUGCAUUCGUGACUGCAUAGCUAGAGUACGGUAGAGGGGGGAUGGAAUUCCGCGUGUAGCAGUGAAAUGCGUAGAUAUGCGGAGGAACACCGAUGGCGAAGGCAAUCCCCUGGACCUGUACUGACGCUCAUGCACGAAAGCGUGGGGAGCAAACAGGAUUAGAUACCCUGGUAGUCCACGCCCUAAACGAUGUCAACUGGUUGUUGGGUCUUCACUGACUCAGUAACGAAGCUAACGCGUGAAGUUGACCGCCUGGGGAGUACGGCCGCAAGGUUG
rnacentral:rRNA from 1 species